AAUUAAUGAGCUUGUUAAGCAUUUGUUUUGAAAACUUAAGAAAGAAAUUCAUUUCUAUUAAUUU
rnacentral:tRNA from 1 species